CCGGAACUCCAUAGUUAAAGGAAAUUUCCACUAAUUCUGUGAACAUAUUUUAUCUCUUUUAAUUGUAUUCUGUAGCUAGGAGCUUGGGUUCUUGGAAGUCAAUUUCAUUGGUGGCAAGAGGAGGGCAUAAUUAAUUCUAACAAGUUCAUUUCAUAGUGUCAUUUAAAAAUAGAAUACUUCUGUCUGGAGUGUGUAAAUUGAUGUUGAAUGUUCAUGAUGUUCUCUCAUACAUACC
rnacentral:lncRNA from 1 species